CUCUUCAUUACGCUUGCGGCAAUUAUAACAAGAGAACAACUGUGACAGAAUGCAAGGGAAGGCAUUCCACAUCUGUCAACAAUUGGAUAGGAAACAACAGGAAUUCAUCCAGAGAAAUGUGGAGCCAGGGAAACUGACCUGGGGUGGAAAAAAAUAACAAAAUAUCCUGUGGGAAGAUUUGGUUUAUUUACAAACACUAGUAAGCAUUUUCGGGAAAGAGGGGGGUUUUUAUAGCCUAGGCAUUUUAUCACAAAUAUAAAAAUAGGGUGUUUUUUUUUAAUUAUUUUGAAUGGAAUACCCUGUAAAACCCGUGUGCUUUUGGUUAUCCCUCCAGAGAUGUUUGAUGUCUCACAACUAAAACCUACCUCUAAAGAUCUGCAUCAAUGAAAGCAGAGUAAGUCUUUGCUGCCCAAGGCAUUGUUUUCACCCCCAUGCCUCACAGGUGCACAGUGUGCCUGCUUAUCCUUAGGCAGACAUUCAUCUAGUUCAAGGUGAGAUGAGUCGCCAGCGCUGAUAACCUGAAGUCUUCAAAUCCCUGUAUGCAAACAGAGGUUAAUGACGUUUCCUCCCCUCUGCAGCAACCCAGCAAUACACUCUGACAGAGGCAUCAACUGAGAUAAAGAACAUCACUUUCCAGGAAACUGUACGUUCUGCUGCCCUUGAAACAGUGCAGUUUCACAGUGGGUACAUCCUUUGGUAAUUUCCUCAUCAGCAAAACUUGAGAAAACAUACAUUGCUAAUCACAAGGACGCACCAUUAGGACAUGUGUAUAUCUGGUCUGGUGAAAACAAAGCAGUGAAUGCGAUGACGUGGUGGCUGGGGUUUAUAAGACAGUGAUCCCUAUUCAGCUCAGUAGGACUACUACUGGUUCCUAGAUAUCCAUUUCUGGCUCUCUAGACAUUCAUUUACCAGCCCAGAUGGAGAUAGAAAACCACAGUACUGGGACCAUAGUCCACGCUAAUGAUCUUGGACAGCUUCAAGCACUGAACUGCCAAGCAUCACUGUGACAGUAACAUCAUUGUCGCAUCAUUGUUGUUGACUGAUGCAGAAAACAGAAUGGAUCUACCAACCUGAGCCUGCUGCAGAACAACUUGCUUACAUGAGGUUAAGUCAGCCAGCUGCAGAGGAAAGAGCAGUUUCCUGGUAUUUGAUUCUAAAGUCAUGUGUUUGGAUCCAUUUUGGCAUCUCUUAGCAAGAGAACAAGCUUGGCAAGUUCCCUACACGCAAAAAAUGUGCAACUGAGAGGGGAAGACUCUCUCCUAAAGCAGAUGUUUUCUGGUAGUGAAAUUUUCCCGUGGAAAGCAAGAUGAAAAAUCAGACAGUAUAUCAUCAGGAUAACUCAUGCUAUCCUGCUUCAGUGGGAGGCUGCACAGGUUCAGAUCAUAGCAAGAAAAACAGGAACAGAAAUGUUGCCAGGAGCAUAGGAUGUUCUAAAGUCUGUACCUACUACCAUACACUCUUUAGGAGAGGCUGAAUUUUAUGAGGAUUUGAAUCAAGACCAGUUACACGUGUCUCUUGAAAAGCUGAUGAGUUCGGUAUUCUUCUAAGAAGUCCAAACCCUGGAAUGGGUGGAAAAGUUUUCCUCUGGAAGGACAAACAGUGCCUGUUUUCUUAUCCAGAAGUGCUGUAAGGAGGACCAAUGAACCACAAUGGUCAGACCUGGUACUGAGCGGAUGUGCUUGCCAAGGGAUAUGUGGAGGACUGAACUAACAUGGAGCUGGAUCUUCAACCGAGGUUUGCUGGUGCUUUCUGAAGCCCACAUAAAGCCACCUUUACAGACCACUCUUUUGCUUGCUGUCUGUGUGUGUGCAGAAAGGAAAAAAGGGGUUGUCACCAGAUCCCACAUGUCCCCUGGAAGAACCAUCAUUUACCUUGAAGAAACUUGAGUAUGAAUAGUCUGGAGGGACUGGUCUGUCAGCACAAAUGACGUCCACUGAGAUACCUGCCCAUCUCUAAGUACACCAAGAUGGAAAAUCAAGGCUGAUGGCCAAGGUCUCAAAGGCAGACAUCUCCUCCCAGCUGUCCUCACUGUAGAUAAAACAUUUUUUGAGAUGGAAGAAAUGUGAAGAAGAAGAGGUGAAUCUGACAGAGAGAACUGAACAGAAGGAACUGGGCUGAAAACAAUUUUCUUUUAGUUAUUUUUGUCCAAAAGGAGAGCCAUGUCGUAGAGCAGAGAGCAGUUUGCAGUUGAAGCAGGAGCAGAAGUCCAAGCCAGCUUACCUCGUGAAUGUGCUUGAGGACCUCCUUAACUCUCAUUGGCUGCCUCUCACACUACAGCAGAAAGGCCAACCCCAUAGAAAGUGAACAAAUGAACCACGUGAAAGAAAGCUAAAAAAUGUCAGGGGAGCUUGGUGAAGAGCUAUUUGCAAGGUACAAAAGAAAGAGCAGGAGCUGCCUAAGUGCCUCUUGAAACUAGAGAGGUUGCACUCAGUUCAUAGCAAUACAUGCCUUCUGCUGAGAGCAGAUAAUAAAAUCUCUCUGGCUGCA